GGAUAUAGCUCAGUUGGUAGAGUGCUUGCCUUUCAUGCACAAAGCCUUGGGUUCAAAUCCCAGCACCA
rnacentral:tRNA from 1 species